GACGAACGCUGGCGGCGUGCUUAACACAUGCAAGUCGAACGGAAAGGCCCUGCUUUUGUGGGGUGCUCGAGUGGCGAACGGGUGAGUAACAUGUGAGUAACCUGCCCUUGACUUUGGGAUAACUUCAGGAAACUGGGGCUAAUACCGGAUAGGAGCUCCUGCUGCAUGGUGGGGGUUGGAAAGUUUCGGCGGUUGGGGAUGGACUCGCGGCUUAUCAGCUUGUUGGUGGGGUAGUGGCUUACCAAGGCUUUGACGGGUAGUCGGCCUGAGAGGGUGACCGGCCACAUUGGGACUGAGAUACGGCCCAGACUCCUACGGGAGACAGCAGUGGAGAAUAUUGCACAAUGGGCGGAAGCCUGAUGCAGCAACGCCGCGUGCGGGAUGACGGCCUUCGGGUUGUAAACCGCUUUCGCCUGUGACGAAGCGUGAGUGACGGUAAUGGGUAAAGAAGCACCGGCUAACUACGUG
rnacentral:rRNA from 1 species